rnacentral:rRNA from 1 species
CCCUUAGAUGUUCUGGGCUGCACGCGCGCUACACUGAUGCGAUCAACAAGUUUUUCCUAUGUCGAUAGACACGGGUAAUCUUUUGAACUCGCAUCGUGAUGGGGAUAGAUUAUUGUAAUUAUUAAUCUUCAACGAGGAAUUCCUAGUAGGUGCAAAUCAUCAGUUUGCAUCGAUUACGUCCCUGCCCUUUGUACACACCGCCCGUCGCACCUACCGAUUGAAUGGUCCGGUGAAAUCUUGGGAUUUUGUUUUGUUUGCAUUUAUUUGUAUCGAGACGAGAGAACUUGAGUAAACCUUACCAUUUAGAGGAAGGUGAAGUCGUAACA